rnacentral:rRNA from 1 species
UCUUUCACAUGCAGUCGACGGCAGCGCGAGAGAGCUUGCUCUCUUGGCGGCGAGUGGCGGACGGGUGAGUAAUAUAUCGGAACGUGCCCAGUAGCGGGGGAUAACUACUCGAAAGAGUGGCUAAUACCGCAUACGCCCUACGGGGGAAAGGGGGGGAUCGCAAGACCUCUCACUAUUGGAGCGGCCGAUAUCGGAUUAGCUAGUUGGUGGGGUAAAGGCUCACCAAGGCAACGAUCCGUAGCUGGUUUGAGAGGACGACCAGCCACACUGGGACUGAGACACGGCCCAGACUCCUACGGGAGGCAGCAGUGGGGAAUUUUGGACAAUGGGGGAAACCCUGAUCCAGCCAUCCCGCGUGUAUGAUGAAGGCCUUCGGGUUGUAAAGUACUUUUGGCAGAGAAGAAAAGGUAUCCCCUAAUACGGGAUACUGCUGACGGUAUCUGCAGAAUAAGCACCGGCUAACUACGUGCCAGCAGCCGCGGUAAUACGUAGGGUGCAAGCGUUAAUCGGAAUUACUGGGCGUAAAGCGUGUGUAGGCGGUUCGGAAAGAAAGAUGUGAAAUCCCAGGGCUCAACCUUGGAACUGCAUUUUUAACUGCCGAGCUAGAGUAUGUCAGAGGGGGGUAGAAUUCCACGUGUAGCAGUGAAAUGCGUAGAUAUGUGGAGGAAUACCGAUGGCGAAGGCAGCCCCCUGGGAUAAUACUGACGCUCAGACACGAAAGCGUGGGGAGCAAACAGGAUUAGAUACCCUGGUAGUCCACGCCCUAAACGAUGUCAACUAGCUGUUGGGGCCGUUAGGCCUUAGUAGCGCAGCUAACGCGUGAAGUUGACCGCCUGGGGAGUACGGGUCGCAAGAUUAAAACUCAAAGGAAAUUGACGGGGACCCGCACAAGCGGGUGGAAUGAUGUGGAUUAAAUU